rnacentral:rRNA from 1 species
UACGUAGGGUGCAAGCGUUGUCCGGAAUUAUUGGGCGUAAAGAGCUCGUAGGCGGUCUGUCGCGUCGAAUGUGAAAACCCGGGGCUCAACUCCGGGCCUGCAUUCGAUACGGGCAGACUAGAGUUCGGUAGGGGAGUCUGGAAUUCCUGGUGUAGCGGUGAAAUGCGCAGAUAUCGGAAGGAACAUCAGUGGCGAAAGCGACUUCCUGGACCAGUACCGACGCUCAGGCACGAAAGCGUGGGGAGCAAACAGG